rnacentral:lncRNA from 1 species
GUUUGAUUACUGACGUGACUUACACUAACUCACCGCUUUUAUUGAGUUCUGUCUUAUUUCUCUUCUUUUUCAGAAUAUUCCCUAUGUUUGCGUUUGUUUCACUCAGGUUGGCAGUUCUUUUUCAAGUUGGAGAAAGUGCAGUUUUAAUUUUACUUGCAACAAAUGUAAUAGAUUAAUAGAGAGAAUAGAGCUCUUUAGACUUGUCUUCCUAUCCAAAUGCCAAGUCCGGGCUGCAGAAUGUUGAGAAUACUGAAGGAAGGGGAGUACAGAAGCAGCAAGUCAGAGAUGGAUGAAACUUUGUAUAUAAAGGACACCAGUGGACUGAACUUAGUGAAUAACCGCUGGUUUUCACCGGCACCAUUCAGGGAUAGCUGGACGGGGUAAAUCUCUUGAAGGAGGAAGAUAC